rnacentral:rRNA from 1 species
AGGACGAACGCUGGCGGCGUGCUUAACACAUGCAAGUCGAACGGAAAGGCCCUUCGGGGUACUCGAGUGGCGAACGGGUGAGUAACACGUGGGUGAUCUGCCCCGCACUUUGGGAUAAGCCUGGGAAACUGGGUCUAAUACCGAAUAGGACCAUGGCAUGCAUGUGCUGUGGUGGAAAGCUUUUGCGGUGUGGGAUGGGCCCGCGGCCUAUCAGCUUGUUGGUGGGGUUAAGGCCUACCAAGGCGACGACGGGUAGCCGGCCUGAGAGGGUGUCCGGCCACACUGGGACUGAGAUACGGCCCAGACUCCUACGGGAGGCAGCAGUGGGGAAUAUUGCACAAUGGGCGCAAGCCUGAUGCAGCGACGCCGCGUGGGGGAUGACGGCCUUCGGGUUGUAACCCUUUCAGUAGGGACGAAGCGCAAGUGACGGUACCUACAGAAGAAGCACCGGCAACUACGUGCCAGCAGCCGC